ACGAACGCUGGCGGCGUGCUUAACACAUGCAAGUCGAACGGAAAGGCCCUGCUUUUGUGGGGUGCUCGAGUGGCGAACGGGUGAGUAACACGUGAGUAACCUGCCCUUGACUUUGGGAUAACUUCAUGAAACUGGGGCUAAUACCGGAUAGGAGCUCCUGCUGCGUGGUGGGGGUUGGAAAGUUUCGGCGGUUGGGGAUGGACUCGCGGCUUAUCAGCUUGUUGGUGGGGUAGUGGCUUACCAAGGCUUUGACGGGUAGCCGGCCUGAGAGGGUGACCGGCCACAUUGGGACUGAGAUACGGCCCAGACUCCUACGGGAGGCAGCAGUGGGGAAUAUUGCACAAUGGGCGGAAGCCUGAUGCAGCAACGCCGCGUGCGGGAUGACGGCCUUCGGGUUGUAAACCGCUUUCGCCUGUGACGAAGCGUGAGUGACGGUAAUGGGUAAAGAAGCACCGGCUAACUACGUG
rnacentral:rRNA from 1 species